rnacentral:lncRNA from 1 species
UAUAUUAUGUUUAACAUAGUUCUCUCUCUCUUUUUUAGGUCAUUUAAAUUUACUCAUCAAUUGGCCAAUGUAUAGAAAGAGAUGACUAUUGCCUGUUCACUGUUUUGGAACAGGGUGCUGAAGAGAAGUCUGUUCAUUCUUUAAAGACACUCCUCAAAAGGGCUUUGACAGAAAUGUUGUUCCUGGCUUGGGAGAUGCAGUGCAGAAUGGCUUUUCACAUGCCAUGGCCCAUUCCCUUGCCAUGUACUAGCAAAUGCAUAGCUCUUUGUCAUGUAAUAGGAAAUAAUAGGACAUUUUCAACUUGAGUGCUGUUGUAUUUGAGGUUUUCUUUUAAUGUACAAUUUUCUACCAGA